rnacentral:rRNA from 15 species
UUGACCUCGAAUCAGGUAGGACUACCCGCUGAACUUAAGCAUAUCAAUAAGCGGAGGA